AUUUUGUAUGCUCUUCUAUGUGGCACUCUUCCUUUUGACGAUGAAAACAUUCCCAACCUGUUUAAGAAAAUAAAGGGUGGAAUCUAUACUCUUCCAAGUCAUUUAUCAUCUGGUGCUAGAGAACUGAUUCCAAGCAUGCUGGUGGUUGACCCAAUGAAACGCAUCACGAUCCCUGAGAUUCGGCAGCACCCAUGGUUUCAGGCUCAUCUUCCACGCUAUUUAGCCGUGCCUCCACCUGAUACAAUGCAACAGGCAAAAAAGAU
rnacentral:misc_RNA from 1 species